rnacentral:rRNA from 1 species
UACAGAGGUGCCAAGCGUUAGGCGGAAUCACUGGGCUUAAAGCGCGUGUAGGCGGCCCGGUAAGUCCGCUGUGAAAGUCCAGGCUCAACCCUGGGAUGCCGGUGGAUACUGUCGGGCUCGAGUCCGGAAGAGGCGAGUGGAAUUCCUGGUGUAGCGGUGAAAUGCGCAGAUAUCAGGAGGAACACCAAUGGCGAAGGCAGCUCGCUGGGACGUGACUGACGCUGAGACGCGAAAGCGUGGGGAGCAAACAGG